UACAGAGGGUGCGAGCGUUAAUCGGAAUUACUGGGCGUAAAGCGUGCGUAGACGGUUAUUUAAGUCGGGUGUGAAAGCCCCGGGCUCAACCUGGGAACUGCAUUCGAGACUGCCUUGCUCGAGUAUGGGAGAGGGAAGUGGAAUUUCCGGUGUAGCGGUGAAAUGCGUAGAUAUCGGAAGGAACAUCAGUGGCGAAGGCGACUUCCUGGACCAAUACUGACACUCAGGUGCGAAAGCGUGGGGAGCAAACAGG
rnacentral:rRNA from 1 species